rfam:Populus trichocarpa scaffold_4_contig_371, whole genome shotgun sequence.
GGGUCGAUGCCCGAGCAUGGGGACAGACUGUAAUUUUGUUGGCAAUAUGCCUACGCUGGUUCAAAUCCAGCUCGGAUUC